GUCUCCGUUGGUGAACCAGCGGAGGGAUCAUUACCGAGUUUACAACUCCCAAACCCCUGUGAACAUACCAAUUGUUGCCUCGGCGGAUCAGCCCGCUCCCGGUAAAACGGGACGGCCCGCCAGAGGACCCCUAAACUCUGUUUCUAUAUGUAACUUCUGAGUAAAACCAUAAAUAAAUCAAAACUUUCAACAACGGAUCUCUUGGUUCUGGCAUCGAUGAAGAACGCAGCAAAAUGCGAUAAGUAAUGUGAAUUGCAGAAUUCAGUGAAUCAUCGAAUCUUUGAACGCACAUUGCGCCCGCCAGUAUUCUGGCGGGCAUGCCUGUUCGAGCGUCAUUUCAACCCUCAAGCCCUCGGGUUUGGUGUUGGGGAUCGGCGAGCCUCACGGCAAGCCGGCCCCGAAAUAUAGUGGCGGUCUCGCUGCAGCUUCCAUUGCGUAGUAGUAAAACCCUCGCAACUGGUACGCGGCGCGGCCAAGCCGUUAAACCCCCAACUUCUGAAUGUUGACCUCGGAUCAGGUAGGAAUACCCGCUGAACCUAAGCAUAUCA
rnacentral:misc_RNA from 1 species